rnacentral:rRNA from 1 species
UACGUAGGGGGCAAGCGUUGUCCGGAUUUAUUGGGCGUAAAGAGCGUGUAGGCGGCUUUACAGGUCCGUUGUGAAAACUCGAGCUCAACCUCGAGACGCCGGUGGAAACCAUCAGACUAGAGUCCGGAAGAGGAGAGUGGAAUUCCUGGUGUAGCGGUGAAAUGCGCAGAUAUCAGGAAGAACACCCGUGGCUAAGGCGGCUCUCUAGUACGGUACUGACGCUGAGACGCGAAAGCGUGGGGAGCGAACAGG